CGAUCCCGAGACCGAUCCCGGACCCGAGACCCAUCCCGGACCCGAGACCCAUCCCGGACCCGAUCCCGAUCCCGGGCCCGGUGCCGCCUCGAUCCGCCCGAUGGGGGAGAGGCGGCGCCGCCCGGGACCCCCGGCAGUUCCCAGCUUUACUCUCUUCCGGAGGACAGGAAGAGGAACCCGGCUGCUCCUCGGCUGGCUCAGAGCUCCCACAUGCCAGCGUUUAUAAAAAGCUUUUCCCAAUGCGUGUGCUCCAUGAAACUUCCGUGCCGUCGUGCAAAUUGCCGUGGACUUUGACUUCCAUGUGCACCUGCUUCACUUUCCUGCCCUGGCC